rnacentral:misc_RNA from 1 species
GAUGAAGAACGCAGCGAACUGCGAUAAGUAAUGCGAAUUGCAGAAUUCAGUGAAUCAUCGAGUCUUUGAACGCACAUUGCGCCCCCUGGCAUUCCGGGGGGCAUGCCUGUCCGAGCGUCAUUGCUGCCCUUCAAGCCCGGCUUGUGUGUUGGGUCGUCGUCCCCCCCGGGGGACGGGCCCGAAAGGCAGCGGCGGCACCGCGUCCGGUCCUCGAGCGUAUGGGGCUUUGUCACCCGCUCGAUUAGGGCCGGCCGGGCGCCAGCCGGCGUCUCCAACCUUCUAUUUUACCAGGUUGACCUCGGAUCAGGUAGGGAUACCCGCUGAACUUAAGCAUAUCAAUAAGCGGAGGA